UGGCGGCCUGGGCGGGCGGGAGCACGCGGGCGGGGCGCGGCCCGACGCCGGCACCCUGACGUUCGGCUCGCUCCCGCCCGCAGCCCCAGGCGGCGUCG
rnacentral:pre_miRNA from 12 species